rnacentral:rRNA from 1 species
GCGUCUUGGUUAUUGAUGUUGGAUGCUUGCAUUUAACUGAUUUAACAUUGAGACGAGUGGCGAACUGGUGAGUAACACGUGGGUAACCUGCCCUUGAAGUAGGGGAUAACACUUGGAAACAGGUGCUAAUACCGUAUAACAACCAAAACCACCUGGUUUUGGUUUAAAAGAUGGCUUCGGCUAUCACUUUAGGAUGGACCCGCGGCGUAUUAGCUUGUUGGUAAGGUAACGGCCUACCAAGGCAAUGAUACGUAGCCGACCUGAGAGGGUAAUCGGCCACAUUGGGACUGAGACACGGCCCAAACUCCUACGGGAGGCAGCAGUAGGGAAUCUUCCACAAUGGACGAAAGUCUGAUGGAGCAACGCCGCGUGAGUGAUGAAGGGUUUCGGCUCGUAAAACUCUGUUGUUGGAGAAGAACAGGUGUGAGAGUAACUGUUCACAUCUUGACGGUAUCCAACCAGAAAGCCACGGCUAACUACGUGCCAGCAGCCGCGGUAAUACGUAGGUGGCAAGCGUUGUCCGGAUUUAUUGGGCGUAAAGCGAGCGCAGGCGGUUUCUUAGGUCUGAUGUGAAAGCCUUCGGCUUAACCGGAGAAGUGCAUCGGAAACCAGGAGACUUGAGUGCAGAAGAGGACAGUGGAACUCCAUGUGUAGCGGUGAAAUGCGUAGAUAUAUGGAAGAACACCAGUGGCGAAGGCGGCUGUCUGGUCUGUAACUGACGCUGAGGCUCGAAAGCAUGGGUAGCGAACAGGAUUAGAUACCCUGGUAGUCC